AAUUGUUUUUUAAACUCCUUCUAUUUUUUCCUUACAUAUACAAAUAAACAAUGGUAAUGAAAGAUUUCUUUUUCGAAAUCACACUGAAUAAAUAUUUGAAACCAGUGUGAAAACCAUGAAGGGACAUUGUACAUUGGCUAAAAGUGUACAUUUAGCCUGUUUUGUGGAUUCACGUUUUUGUAUCAACACAGGAUAAUAAAUGAAAUCACUUGGGAAAUUAAGUUAGCUGAAGUAUCUAAAUUACUUGUAUGUAUGAAUGUGAGAGUAAAUGGUUGUCUGUCACUAAACACGUGAACUGUAAUCGACCAGUGAGCUGUUGAUAUAGUUUACUGCUGCCUCUGGUUCUUUGUGAUCCUCUUUAUGGACCCCAGAGGAGAAGCAGCAUACAUUAAGGAUAAAUGUAUUCAUUUACACAUUCUAAUUUUAUUUCAUGUUGAUGUUGUUAACCUGAAUUUAUUUAAAUUACAUAACCACCUCAAAGGGGUUUCCAAUCAACACAACAUACAUUUUCUAAUCUGAGCUCAUUCUGCAGGUUUUCUCAUUAUCUCUCACUUUACUCUAUUUAAAUUAAUUUGAUUUAAAGUCAUAGCACAAUGUACAGCAAAAAGACCGUCUGCAAAGCAACGGAAAGACAAUAAUAUGAAUCUGACCAAGAGAGUUUGACUAAGGUGAGCGUUUGAAGUGGUUUGCAUCAUGGAUUUAUGCCAAAAAAAAAGUUCUGAUAGAAGAGUGAGAACUAAUGAGUAAAGAGCAGCAGAAAAGUAUAUUUAGGGUGGUGCAGGAGAUAAGGUGUGACGUGAAAUGGUCUACUGUGUUGACCCCCAAAGGAGCAGCUAAAAUAGCAAGCACAAAGGCCAGACAGAGGCUAGUGAUAAAAUAAAACAAAGAUAUGUUUUUGUGGACGGCUACUGGUACUAUUUGUGACUCCCUUCUCCAGCAAUUGCUUUGAGAGAACCAAAACCAUCUUGGUCAACAGAGUAGUUGUCUUCAAGACCUACUUUUAAUGUUGACCUAGUUGACCUGGUAUCUACCCCCCCAUCGAUUUGAACCAGCCCCCAUCACACUAACACUAUGCAAUUCUUGAAACCUUUGUAAACAUUUCCUGGAUAAGCUUUUCUGAUGUUUGAACCAGUUACACCAUUUUCUUCUCCUCACCCUUCCCCCCAGAGCAGGGCAUUAGCUCCUAAUGUGCUCGUUUUCCCCGUGAUCCAAAAUGACUUUACUACCACUUUUCUGCAGCCCCCGAACCCAAGGAGAAAUUAGCCGCGUGAACUGAGUACUUUUUUAUGUAGGUUGGGAGUCAGGGAUUCUCAAUGCCGAACGGACACCAGCUGAAUGGAUGUUAUUUACAGCAGACAGAGCUGAUGUGUUAAUGAUGAGCGCAAUAAAACACUCAUCUGGGCUAUUGCAGAUCACAAAACAGCUUAGUGCCACCUGCUAUAUUAAAGCUGUUAGUUUAAACCGACAGUGCUGUGUCUGGGUCCGCAUUAUACUCCGUUUUCUUUAUUUAAUUUUUUUUUUUUCAACCUGACAAGCAGUACCAGGGAUAAGAGGAAUCGUUUACAGAUAUACUGCUUUAAGUUUCAGUCUAAGGCGAUGUAGCGAGCCACAUGUUGUAUAUCAACACUCCUUACUCUCACUGGACUUUUCUUCUAGCCGUUCCACAGUCUCAUUAGUUACAGUCGAGGAAUACUUGCAAGACACAUUCUGAUUAAUAUGUAUUGACUGUAUGAAGUCUGAUCCCGUGUCUGAUCCUUUGUUAAUUUUAAACCAUUGUGCUCUGUGUAAAGCCAUCCAUCAAAAACUCUCCGUUGAGAUAUUUUGCAGGCGCGCUGAUCCUCUAAAGUACUGCUGACAGCUGCAAUUGUACCUCUGUGUUUCCAACGAGCCGGAGUUGAAGAUAAGCUGUCUAAAUCCUGUCCAAACCUAACUGUCACAGAACGUCCAACGCUGUCAACGUCUCUCAAAAGGCAUUACACACACUGCACAGAGUAAGACCAAGACAAAACACAUAAAACAAUUUAAUACUAGCACAUUUUCUCUGUUUUUUUGUUUUGUUUAUCUGUUUCAUCCUUAAAACACCAAUUAAACAGAAACACCAGUGGUUCUUCUAACGGCUGUACCAUUAAAAUGAGACACAAUCUGAUUAAACAUGAAUACAUGUACGUCAUGACACUUAAGAUCCAAGAUUCCACUUAAGUGGAAUCGGAAAUUAAGUGGAAAAUAUUUGACACGUUGACACCAAGCUGUAAGGUCAAAGGUUAUAUUCAACUGACCAAUGAUAUGUUAAAGUAAGUAUAAUGAUAGUGUCCCAUCACCCGGUCUUAAAUUGGUACCGGGCACUAGGUGAUUUGCUAUUGUGUUGGAGGAAGAAUUAAUUACAUAUUAUUUUCAUUUCACUGAUUUGAAUUGGAAACUUGUCUAAAGAUCACAGACCUGAGAACAAAUGCUUCGUUCUCAGUCUUUCUGCAUGUUCAACUAGUGUUUAUGGGAGAUUUCUCCAGGUUCCCUGCUUUCCUCCCACAGUCCAGAGGUCAUAGGUCAUUUGGACACUCUAGUUGACCAGAGGUACGAUUGUUGUCUCCAUAUUUGUUCCUGCAAAUUGACUAGUGAACUGUCCAAGGUCCACUCCUUCCUCCGUUAGCUGCUGUUGUUGCCAGCAAACUAAAAAAAUAUUAUAGUAUCGCUGUCAAAGAUAAGCAGAAAAAAAGAUUAAAAAUAAACAGCUUUGGAGAGCUUAAUCAAAGAAGGGACACGGCCUGCAUCACUAACUUAAAAAGAAAAGCUAAACAGAAGCUGCUCAAAAAGUCUUUCUUAAAGUAGGCAAUAAUUAUGAGUUGUAAUUUCCACCUGUCAAACUCAUUCUGCGUGAUAUGUGACUUUCAGCAUAACUGCGCAUCAUAUUUUUUGCACAAGUCCAGUCUUUUACCCAAAUCUGCCCCAUGAUGCACCUCAGCUCUAAAGACACCAGAGAUAUUUUCUGAAAUCCAUCUUACUUCUCAAAGUUGGUCGAUCCGUGGAGAAAAGUUUUCCCAUGUGAAACCAGCAGUAACCGUCAGAUCCCUGCGCCCAGGUCUCAACACUGCAGGUCCGUCAUGUGGCUGCAUGUGUUCGUCUGUCAUCUGCCCCCUCACACACUCCCCGUGGUGAGAGAGCCACAAACAUAAACACACUAAAAGCCUUGCAAGCAAAACAAAAGAACACAAAUAUUAAAUAAAACCCAGCCGCCAUUAAACAGUGGAGGACCUCCAUCCUUUUAGAGCCAUUCUUUUGAUGACUUUGAUGUGCCUGUGGUCCCACCGACACAUUACUAAUCUCCCCUGUAAUUCAGCAGCAGACCAUCGCCCUGCUAAUGGGAACAUGGGUUGUUUUGGCCGAGCUGGUCAGCAGACCCCUCUGAUCCACGCACUAGCUUCUGUUUCUGUGUGAUCUCAGCACCUCACAUGGACAUAACGCUUUAUAUCAUUUUCUAAUGUGACACAAGGGGGCGUAAAUCUUCCAAAUUGGAUUUUGAUUGGACUUAAAACCACAACAGUCCUGACAGCAGAGCGGUGGUCGACCUCCAGCUGAACUCUGCUGAGGUUCAUUUAAAACACAAAUGAUGAGAGUUUAUAUAAUCAUGUUAUCAACAGUUAACAGAUAUUUACAUCUUCAUGUCAGGGCGGGGUUUGGUGUUGGAGGAAUACUACAAAAAUAUAUUUGCAUUUUUUUCAAUAUAAAUAAUGUGAGAUUUAACUUCACCCCAAAAUAAAUAAUUCUCUCAGGGAAUUUGUUUUUCAGUUUUCAGUCCAAAAAAAACUGUCAAAAUUAUAGUUUGUUUAAAAUCAGUUCUCUUCUGUUUGUUUUUAAAUCUGACAAUUGUCAAAACAAUUUUUCCUUCUCUUGUUUUCUUAUUGAUAUAUUAC